UACGUAGGGUGCAAGCGUUGUCCGGAAUUAUUGGGCGUAAAGAGCUCGUAGGCGGUGUGUCGCGUCUGCUGUGAAAACUCAGGGCUCAACUCUGAGCUUGCAGUGGGUACGGGCACACUAGAGUGCUGUAGGGGAGACUGGAAUUCCUGGUGUAGCGGUGGAAUGCGCAGAUAGUCAGGAGGAACACCGAUGGCGAAGGCAGAUCUCUGGGCCGUAACUGACGCUGAGGAGCGAAAGCAUGGGGAGCGAACAGG
rnacentral:rRNA from 1 species